rnacentral:rRNA from 1 species
UCCAGACUCCUACGGGAGGCAGCAGUGGGGAAUAUUGGGCAAUGGGCGCAAGCCUGACCCAGCAACGCCGCGUGAAGGAAGAAGGCUUUCGGGUUGUAAACUUCUUUUAAGAGGGAAGAGUAGAAGACGGUACCUCUUGAAUAAGCCACGGCUAACUACGUGCCAGCAGCCGCGGUAAUACGUAGGUGGCAAGCGUUGUCCGGAUUUACUGGGUGUAAAGGGCGUGUAGCCGGGUUGACAAGUCAGAUGUGAAAUCCUGCGGCUUAACCGCGGGACUGCAUUGGGAACUACCGGGCUGGAGUGCCGGAGAGGUAGGCGGAAUUCCUAGUGUAGCGGUGAAAUGCGUAGAUAUUAGGAGGAACACCAGUGGCGAAGGCGGCCUACUGGACGGUGACUGACGCUGAGGCUCGAAAGCGUGGGGAGCAAACAGGAUUAGAUACCCUCGUA